rnacentral:lncRNA from 1 species
AAUGACUGUGCUUUAAAUAGUGCUUGGGAGAGUUUACUCAGAGUCAUUAGAUUGAAGAUGAGCCAAAUUAAACACGACUGCACAGAAAUUUAAGUGGAAAGACAAUGUUAGGUACAAAGGUAUGAUGUUACAGGAACUAUGACUCAUCACACAGAACUUGACAGAACAUCACAUAAUGUAGAAACAUAGCUAACAUAAGUAGAAAUUCUCCAAAACUUUUGAAACAUCCUUUAUGAUGGUUGUCUUAGAUCUAAGAAAGAGUGUGCAAAUAAUUACUGCAAACUACACUGCUCGAAAACUUUCUCAGUGAAUUUUUUUUUAUCAACAUCAACUGAAGCAGGUUUUCAGGUUAUGUUUUGAUUUUCCUUUUUCAAGUGAUAACAAGAUAACCUAAAAAAAACAAAAAAAAGCAUGGCAUUGUUUACGUUACGAAGAACCCGUAUAAAAUUUUACAGUUUUAUUAUUUCGAUUAGUGGAUCAUUUCAAUUCCUUUGCAACUAUUGAGGCGCCGGUAUCAAAAGAAGAGGUACCAAAAGGAACAGCUCCUGAUGGAAAAUUAUUCUAAAGGUAAAAAUGUGGAAGAAGAGUGGAUCAAAGAGAAUAUUCCAAUACCAAACUUGCCAAAAGAUUUUUUAUGGAUGCAGGUGAAACCUAGCAGUAAAAUGAAUAAUUCACUUCCUGUCUUGAAGAAUCAAAGCAGAAAAGACAUUGUUUGGGGGAGACUGUCCUGCCAUCUCCAAGACCAUCAGCUGCGCUGAAAUAACAAACAAUGAAUGCUGGACUCUACCAAAUCAGUAAAAUUUGCUCCCAAGUAAGUAGUUUUCAUUAUAGCUUAUUUGGCUGAAUUCUCAUUGGAAAGCUUUCA